GUGCUUGCUCUGGCAGCACAUAGACUAAAAUUGGAAUGGUAUGGAGAAGAUUAGCAAGGCCCCACACAAGGAUGACAUGCAAAUUUGUGAAGUGUUCCACAUUAAA
ensembl:snRNA U6 U6 spliceosomal RNA